UACAGGGGGGCAAGCGUUGUUCGGAAUUACUGGGCGUAAAGGGCUCGUAGGCGGCCAACUAAGUCAUACGUGAAAGUCCCUCGGCUUAACCGGGGAACUGCGUCUGAUACUGGAUGGCUUGAGUUCGGGAGAGGGAUGCGGAAUUCCAGGUGUAGCGGUGAAAUGCGUAGAUAUCUGGAGGAACACCGGUGGCGAAGGCGGCAUCCUGGACCGAUACUGACGCUGAGGAGCGAAAGCCAGGGGAGCAA
rnacentral:rRNA from 1 species